rnacentral:rRNA from 1 species
GAUGAACGCUGGCGGCGUGCCUAAUACAUGCAAGUCGAGCGAACGGACGAGAAGCUCGCUUCUCUGAUGUUAGCGGCGGACGGGUGAGUAACACGUGGAUAACCUACUUAUAUUACGGGGAUAAUUUCGUGAAACCGGUGCUACUACUGCAUCAUAUUUUGAACCGCUUGGUUCAAAAGUGAUUGACGGUCUUGCUGUCUCAUAUAGAUGGAUCCGCGCUGCAUUAGCUAGUUGGUAAGGUAACGGCUUACCAAGGCAACGAUGCAUAGCCGACCUGAGAGGAUGAUCGGCCACACUGGAACUGAGACACGGUCCAGACUCCUACGGGAGGCAGCAGUAGGGAAUAUUCCACAAUGGGCGAAAGCCUGACGGAGCAACGCCGCGUGAGUGAUGAAGGUCUUCGGAUCGUAAAGCUCUGUUAUUAGGAAAGAACAGCUGUGUAUGUAACUGUGGACAUCUUGACGGUACCUAAUCAGAAAGCCACGGCUAACUACGUG